AGUCGGGCCCCUUGCGGCAGAAAAUUCCGAACCGUGUCAGGGCCUAACGGCAGCAGCACUAAGGAAAAAUCUGGGUGUCUUGCGGUUUCCUGACUCAU
rnacentral:SRP_RNA from 1 species